UGCCAGCCGCCGCGGUAAUACGGAGGGUGCAAGCGUUAAUCGGAAUUACUGGGCGUAGAGCGUGCGUAGGCGGUUUAUUAAGUCAGAUGUGAAAGCCCCGGGCUUAACCUGGGAACUGCAUUUAGAACUGUAUAGCUAGAGUACAGCAGAGGAUAGUGGAAUUUCAGGUGUAGCGGUGAAAUGCGCAGAGAUCUGAAGGAACAUCAGUGGCGAAGGCGACUGUCUGGGCUGAUACUGACACUGAGGUGCGAAAGCGUGGGUAGCAAACAGGAUUAGAUA
rnacentral:rRNA from 1 species